CAGCAGCCACGGGAAUACGUAGGGUGCAAGCGUUAAUUGGAAUUACUGGGCGUAAAGCGUGCGCAGGCGGUCCGCUAAGACAGAUGUGAAAUCCCCGGGCUUAACCUGGGAACUGCAUUUGUGACUGGCGGGCUAGAGUAUGGCAGAGGGGGGUAGAAUUCCACGUGUAGCAGUGAAAUGCGUAGAGAUGUGGAGGAAUACCGAUGGCGAAGGCAGCCCCCUGGGCCAAUACUGACGCUCAUGCACGAAAGCGUGGGGAGCAAACAGGAUUAGAUACCCCUGUAGUCCCUGUCUCUUAUAC
rnacentral:rRNA from 1 species